CAACCCUUAAAAAAAAAAAAACUCCCCCCAAACAAACACGCUGCCAAUCUUUGCCGCCGCCGCCGAUCCCCACCCCCACCGGUGACCUCGUCUCCCCAUCCCCGGCCCCAUCCCCACCUCUGGCCGACCUCCCUCCUCAUCUCGUCCAUCCACCCAUGGAAACCUCCUUUUCCACGGAUCUACACACCCACCCACGCCCACCCAUGGAUGGAUGGAUGGAUGGGGCGCACCAGUUCUGGCGACGGCGACGCCGGAUCCACACCCACCUGCACAAUGGAGGCCUGCCGCAUCGGGAUCCACCGCCUGCUCUCGGUCUGGUGCGGCACACCGGACCACACCGGAGAUUGCUACUGCGGUGGCCGUCGACGACAGCGCAUCUCUGGCGGGACCUAGAUGCCCAAGGCAUGCAUCCGUGGUUGGUGACCUUGCGUGCCGCCAUUGCCGGAGGCUGGCUGGUUGGACGGGCAUCCGGAAUGCCGGUGUUUGCAGCCUUACAUCUCAGGGAAGACGCUUGCUAAAAUGUGUGCAUGCCAAGAUUCCUACAGUUCCAGACUGAUUAGUGAGCUUACACUUCUAAGGGUGGAUCGAUUAGCAUACUCUGCCUACUGAAUGCCAGUCUGAGAGGUAGCAUCUGCUAUCGUCAGGUUAUAUAAGCUCGUGUGGAUGGGAGGUGGAUGCCAGCACGGAUCCAGUGUCUCCGACCUCGGCAUCCACAAGGAGGAGCGGCGACAAUUACAUACCCAACCAUGGGGCAGCAGCAAUUCAUUGUUGAGCCUCCCUCUACCUCUCUCACAUUCCCUUAUUUUGCUGCUGCUCUAAAUUCACUUUCACUUGAUUGAAUCUAGUGCUACUGCUGUCAGUCCCUAGUCCCUAGUGCUACUGCUCUAAAUUCACUUGCAUGUUUGACUAAAUCAUAAAAGAAUGAAUAGGUGUUGGCUCUAGAGUGCUAGCUCGUAUACUCUAGCAGGCGAAGCACGUACGUGCAAGCUAACUUCAACAAAGCAGACUAGUAGCUUAAUUGAUUAUUUGUUAGCUAGUAGUACUCGGACGUGCAGUCUCACGUAUACGUACGAGCUUAGCAGAGCUAGCUAAGCUAGCGACUGAUCGAUCUGACUUCUUGCGGCCGACCGUAGCGACUUUGUAACUCAGCGAACUGAAAAACGAUGGAGAUUUUGUGGAUAGCCACAGGGGCGUGUCGCUCCUGGAUUUCUUUGUAUUGCUUUGAUCGACUUAGAAAGAUUACAAUGGCUGGGUGCACUUAUGAUGCACUUAGUGUGCCACCUCCAGAUGACUGACUGACUGUGUAUUUGUACUAGCGCGUGCUGACGAAGCAGGAACACACCCAAUGCCUUGGCAGGAACACAGAGUUGCGGAGAGCAGCAGCUCGCAAUCGUGGUCAGGGACCGACCGUCCGAGAGUAGACCGUGGAGACGUGGAGUUCAGUCCAGGAAGUUCCUUGACAUUGCAGUCACGUAGAUUUUGCUGGUUGUGGCAUUGCUUGAAAUUGGGUUAUUGGAUAGCUGAAGCUGCGUUGGAUUUCUUCUAAUUUACUCCAGGAGACGAAGACCACGCUUCAUGAAUUCAGGGCGCCGCCGAGGUGGUCAUGUGGGAUCCUCUCGAACAGCGCGUGCUCGCUGUCGACUUCGAUGGCAGGGUCACCCGCUCCAUCGGCCCCCUCUCCGGCGGGAUGUACUACUCGGGUUUCAUCCCCUACGUCAACUCAUACACAGAGAUCUACAUAUUGGCCAAGUGUUCGUCGAUCUGCAAGCCUGUUUAAGAGCUGGAUUGGCCGGUCCAAUUCAACACGGAACUAUGUGUCUGUUGAAACUUUUCGUCUAUCAAGUGUCGCCUCGCCGCCUCCGGCCACCCCGACGACGCCCUCGCCUUCGCCAACCUCCACUCCUCCAUGAGGUGUUUUGUUUCUUGCAAUUUGGAAGAGGAAGAUGAUGAAGCAUGGUUGUUAUCUAUCAAUAUGCCUUGUGUUCUGGUUGUACUUCAUAGCUAGUUACAUUGUAUUCUGUACUGGUCUGGUUGUAUGAACACUAUGUAAAGAUUGUAAUAGGCUAAUUUUGGCUAUCAUUUCGAGCAUAUAGUUAUGUUUCAUUUGAAAUAUUUGUCAUUUGUGUACUGUGAAAAUGUGAGAAAUAAAAAUAUGAUGAGUUGGACCUA